AGCGAACGCUGGCGGCAGGCCUAACACAUGCAAGUCGAACGAACCUUUCGGGGUUAGUGGCGGACGGGUGAGUAACACGUGGGAACGUGCCUUUAGGUUCGGAAUAACUCAGGGAAACUUGUGCUAAUACCGAAUGUGCCCUUCGGGGGAAAGAUUAAUCGCCUUUAGAGCGGCCCGCGUCUGAUUAGCUAGUUGGUUGAGGUAAUGGCUCACCAAGGCGACGAUCAGUAGCUGGUCUGAGAGGAUGAUCAGCCACAUUGGGACUGAGACACGGCCCAAAUCCGUCCGGGGGGAGCAAGUGGGAAUUCUUGCGCAAGGGGCAAAGGCCUGACGAGGCCAGGCCGGGUGAAGAAUGAGGGUUUAGGGUGUGAAAAUUUCUUCCACGGGGGACAAUAAGGAGGGUCCCGGAAAAAGAACCCCGGGCUACCUUGGUG
rnacentral:rRNA from 1 species